UAUGUGGUGUUUACUGGAGUUAUAUAUAUUAUAAGGUGGGGGUGUGGGAUUGAGAAGGGAGGAGGAAAACUUAUACCUGGCUAUCAUAAAAAAUGGUUCCCAAGGCCAAUUCUGUGUACAUGAGUGUCUUCAUCAUAUUGUUGUUGUUCUCAUCCAAAGUUGCGCUUGCCAGAGUUUCCCGUUCUUCAGAAACCAAACAGAAGACUGGUACAGAAUUUGAGAAGAUGAAGAAUAUUAACCUGGCAAAAAAAAUAGGCGUACCUAAACAUGAAGAUCCAGAUAAUCAUGGUCUCCUGCAUUAGUAAUUAGAGUGAUCAAUGAAUAAUUAGAGUGGUCAGCUGACCCUUCUAAAAUUUCGCAAUUAUUGUAUAUGAUUUUAUUUUAUUUUUAUAUAUGAUUGUAAGGAUUUGUUUAGGAAUAUGGGUACAGUGCUUUACUUACAUGCACUGAUUCCGUUUUCCACAAUAUAUCCAGCGAUCAACAAGUUUUUGUGGUUGAGAUGGCUUGAGACCUCUCUUCCACUUUUCUUUCUAAGAGUAAGGUGGUAUGUUAAAGUCAUCGUCUUAUAAAUGCAAUGUUUGUAUUUUGUGGUUGAAUUUUAAUGAUGAUAUUGAUAGAA